rnacentral:rRNA from 1 species
UGCGUAGGUGGUUGGUUAAGUUUGAGGUGAAAGCUCCGAGCUCAACUCGGAAAAUGCCUUGAAGACUAUCUGACUAGAGGAUUGGAGGGGAGAUUGGAAUUCUCGGUGUAGCAGUGAAAUGCGUAGAUAUCGAGAGGAACACCAGUGGCGAGGCGAAUCUCUGGACAAUUCCUGACACUGAGGCACGAAAGCCAAGGGAGCAAACG